CUACGGGUUGCUGCAGUGGGGAAUAUUGCACAAUGGGCGCAAGCCUGAUGCAGCCAUGCCGCGUGUAUGAAGAAGGCCUUCGGGUUGUAAAGUACUUUCAGCGGGGAGGAAGGGAGUAAAGUUAAUACCUUUGCUCAUUGACGUUACCCGCAGAAGAAGCACCGGCUAACUCCGUGCCAGCAGCCGCGGUAAUACGGAGGGUGCAAGCGUUAAUCGGAAUUACUGGGCGUAAAGCGCACGCAGGCGGUUUGUUAAGUCAGAUGUGAAAUCCCCGGGCUCAACCUGGGGACUGCAUCUGAUACUGGCCAGCUUGAGUCUCGUAGAGGGGGGUAGAAUUCCAGGUGUAGCGGUGAAAUGCGUAGAGAUCUGGAGGAAUACCGGUGGCGAAGGCGGCCCCCUGGACGAAGACUGACGCUCAGGUGCGAAAGCGUGGGGAGCAAACAGGAUUAGAUACCCCAGUAGUC
rnacentral:rRNA from 1 species